CACCACUCAAGGCACGGCGGCGGCCCAACCGCAAACUAACGGAGAUUAACAUGAGGCUGGAUGCGCUUGGCUCCCUGCUGCGUCCAUCACCAGAGGGGCCGGGAUUGCUGCGGCAGCUAGCCAAUUAAAGGAGGAGGAUGAAGGAGAGGAGUCUGACGAUGCCGACAUCGCCAUCGUAUGCAGUCCACGCCCUCGCAGGAAAACCAGCCAAUGAAAACGCUUGCAGCAGCAUCAGCAGAACACACCGGCACGACUGACAGAGCUUCUGAAGCAUGCAGUGGAAGACCUGUCAGUCAAGCUAAAGGUCCCGCCCUCCAACCUGCUGCUGCUGCACGGAGAGGCGGAACUUAACACCUCACACACUAUUGGCCAGCUA